rnacentral:lncRNA from 1 species
CAAAAGUUUCUACUCAGCUCUGGUCUUAUCAGACAUGUUUCAAAGUAUUCUAUUUAAAAUCCACUUUUCCCCUAUAGGAUUAAAUCAGACUUCUCAAGAUGGCAUCAUCACUCAAGAGUAUUUCCAAAUUGUAGGUUGGAAUGGGUAAAAUGGAUUCCUCCCCAUCUCAUACUCUAAGGAACACAGCUAGAAAGAUCAGUGCAUUCCAAAGGAGCAUCCUCGCUGAACUGGAAGUCCUCCUGGGGAGAUUGUAAGAGAGCAUCUGGAUAUGAUGAGUUCAAGUCACCAAAUCCAGAUAAAGGGCAUCCACUAAAAGGACUGGUGGAUAUAAGCACUGAGGCACUAUCAGUGCUGUCUGAAAGACUCUGCCAUUAUCAAAGCCUGUUUCAUUCUAAAUAAAAU